rnacentral:rRNA from 1 species
ACUCAAAGGAAUUGACGGGGAUCAGCACAAGCGGUGGAUUAUGUUCUUUAAUUCGAUGAUAACCGAUGAACCUUACCAGGGUUUGACAUCCAGGGAAGCACUACGAAAGUAGCGUGUGCCUUUUGGAACUCUGUGACAGGUGUUGCAUGGCCGUCGUCAGCUCGUGUCGUGAGAUGUUUGGUUAAGUCCAUCAACGAGCGCAACCCUUGCAAGUAGUUGUAUUUUUCUACUUGGACUGCUCUAGUAAUAGGGAGGAAGGAGGGGAUGAUGUCAGGUCAGUAUUACCCUUACACCCUGGGCUAGAAACAUAAUACAAUGGCCGGUACAAUGCGCAGCAAAGCCGCGAGGUGGAGCAAAUCGCAUCAAAGCCGGUCCCAGUUCGGAUAAGAGGCUGAAACUCGCCUCUUUGAAGCCGGAAUCGCUAGUAAUCGCAAAUCAGCAAGUUGCGGUGAAUACGUCACUGAUCUUGCACACACCGCCCGU